rnacentral:rRNA from 1 species
AUUCCAGCUCCAAUAUCUUCCUUUCCUGUUUUUUUUUUUCCCCCUCUCUUCUUUUUCUUUCUUGUGUCGCAGUGCUUCCGCGUGUUUAAUUACAUGUCGAGUUGUGUUUGCGUCGCCAUCUUUUAGCAGCACCCUCCUGGCAUUAGGUUGUUGGGUUGGUAAUGCUAAUCGUUUACUGUGAAGAAAUUAGAGUGUUCAAAGCAGGCUUAUGCCGUUGAAUACGUUAGCAUGGAAUAAUGAGAUAGGACUUUGGUGGUUUAUUUUGUUGGUUUGCACGCCGAGGUAAUGAUUAAUAGGAGCAGUUGGGGAUGUCCGUAUUCGAUUGUCAGAGGUGAAAUUCUUGGAUUUAUUGAAGACGAACUACUGCGAAAGCAUUCAUCAAGGAUGUUUUCAUCA